rnacentral:rRNA from 1 species
AGUUUUUUGAUUUUUAAUUAUAAGUGUUUUCUGCUCAGUGUUUUUAAAUAGCCGCAGUAAUUUGACUGUGCAAAGGUAGCAUAAUCAUUUGCCUUAUAAUUGAGGGCUAGUAUGAAUGGUAUUACGAGAGUUUAGCUGUCUUUUAUUUAUUUUUAUAAUUUGUAAUUAAUGUGAAGAUACAUUAUUUUUUUAAGAAGACAAGAAGACCCUUUUGAGCUUUAUUUCUUUUCUUUUUUUUUAUUAGAUUUUAAUUUGGUUGGGGCGACCAAGGAAUAAGUGUGUUUUAAUUUUAAACCUUCCUUUUUUUUUUUAGAGCCAAUAUUUAUUGAUUUAUAGAUUAAGUUACCAAAGGGAUAACAGCGUAAUUUUUUUUGAGAGUUCUUAUUAAAAAUAAAGAUUGCGACCUCGAUGUUGACUUAUAGUUUCCUUUUGGUGCAGUAGCUAUAAGGGUAGGUCUGUUCAACCUUUAAAACUUU